rnacentral:rRNA from 1 species
GAUGAACGCUGGCGGCGUGCCUAAUACAUGCAAGUCGAGCGAACAGACGAGGAGCUUGCUCCUCUGACGUUAGCGGCGGACGGGUGAGUAACACGUGGAUAACCUACCUAUAAGACUGGGAUAACUUCGGGAAACCGGAGCUAAUACCGGAUAAUAUAUUGAACCGCAUUGUUCAAUAGUGAAAGACGGUUUUGCUGUCACUUAUAGAUGGAUCCGCGCCGCAUUAGCUAGUUGGUAAGGUAACGGCUUACCAAGGCAACGAUGCGUAGCCGACCUGAGAGGGUGUUCGGCCACACUAGAACGGAACCACGGUCCAGACGCCUACGGUAGGGAGCAGAGGAGAAUCGUCGGCAGUAGGGGAAAACCUAGCGGAACAGCGCCACGUAUGUGGUAGGGAUAUUCGGUUCGUGAAACUGGCUUUUUAGGGAAAAACAAGUUUGUAGUAUACCAUACAGUUAUUGACGGUACCUGAUCAGAAAGCACCGGCUAACUACGUG